rnacentral:rRNA from 1 species
AUACGUAGGUGGCAAGCGUUGUCCGGAUUUAUUGGGCGUAAAGCGCGCGCAGGCGGCUAUGUAAGUCUGGUGUUAAAGCCCGGAGCUCAACUCCGGUUCGCAUCGGAAACUGUGUAGCUUGAGUGCAGAAGAGGAAAGCGGUAUUCCACGUGUAGCGGUGAAAUGCGUAGAGAUGUGGAGGAACACCAGUGGCGAAGGCGGCUUUCUGGUCUGUAACUGACGCUGAGGCGCGAAAGCGUGGGGAGCAAACAGGAUUAGAUACCCUGGUAGUCCACGCCGUAAACGAUGAGUGCUAGGUGUUGGGGGUUUCAAUACCCUCAGUGCCGCAGCUAACGCAAUAAGCACUCCGCCUGGGGAGUACGCUCGCAAGAGUGA